rnacentral:rRNA from 1 species
CUCGAACCUGGGUAAAGUAGCGCGUGCUACUCGCAUACCCGUCCCUGCAUAUUCCAGCAGCAGCCUUGCCCUCACACGAAGCCACCUUGUGGCAUAUGUCGUCUUGCACCCCCCGUGAGAAUACCACGACAUUUUGCGCCCACCGUGUGGCCGGCAGUAAGCUACCGCGCUGCUGCUGGUUUCGUAGUCCGGGCGGGACCUUUUUUGAUGAUCGUCACCACGGCGUCGCGCCGUCUCUCCGAUAGCGCUCUGGGGCUCGACUUCGACCCGCCCACGGAGCGGCCGCACGGGACGGCGCGUCCUCGUCAGCGGCCUCUCUGCCUUCGUCAUCACCACUGUUGCGACGCCGGCUGUCAGUCUGCGCGCGCCGCGCACGGGCCCUCGCUUCAGUCGGCCGUGUCCGUCCACGCGCCACUUGCGUCUGUUCCUCUCCACGUUGCGCCUUGCUUUGGCCGAAAUGCGCUUUUGGUCCUCCACAUUUCGUCUAUUCAAGCUAGCUAGAGCAAGUCAAAUCAAUGGUCAAACCAUUAGCCAGAUAUCGCCUAUACACUACCCAUACAACACUGACCAUACGCAAACAAUAAUGUUGGUUUGCUGCUGCUAUCUCCACGCGGCCGUGGCAAAAUCCAGUAGCGUCAGUGUCGCGCACCUAGCUCCCCCGCCUCCCUGCUCCUCCUGAACAGCUGCUGGUUGCACCGAGCUCUUCCUGCGCCUGGCCUUCCUGUGUCGUCAGCUCCUGCUCCGUCCCGCAACCAACUUCAGCAGCAGCACUCCGCGCCGCGCGACGCCUUCUCCGAGCGCGUGCGCCGCUCGGCUCCUGCUCCGCUCCGCCUGCAGCACCCCUGAGCGACCGCUACGCCCGUGCGUUGCAGCCGGCCGCUGCCCGCACGCCCGGGCCGGCCCCGCCUGCUCACAGCGUCCGGCUGCUGCCCUGCCUGCCGCUUGCUGCUGCGUCCCCAUGGCCACACACCCCACAGGCGCCGGGUCCGCCUGCCGCUUCUCGCCCGAGCCGGCACCGCGCUUGGCCACGCGCCUCUCCGGCCGGUUCCGCUCGCCGCCCUUCGCCCGAGCCAUCCGCGUGGGCAGUCCCGCGCCCGACUUCGCCCUCGCGCCGGCUGCCUAGCUCCCGGACGCCGGCGGCCCAUCGCCCGGACUCCGACUCCUCCGCCCUGCUGCUCCCACGGACGCGCGUCGCUGCACUGCGGACUGCGGCGUCGUCCGCCUGCUCCUCCACGGCCUUCAGACGCACCGGCCCCAGCGCCCGGCCGCCCCCGCGCUUGGCUGCGGCCGCUUCUCCCGCGGCCGCGCGGGCGUCCCCUCUGUCCCCGCGGGCCUCCUGCUCCGGCACCGUGCUCGUCUCCUGCGGUCGACCCAGCACCGCGCUCACAACUCCCCAUCUCUGCGCGCCCACGGCUCCCCCGGCUGCCGCCUACUCGGUCGGCGCCGCGCGCUCACCCUGCUCCGGGCCGGCUACCGCCCUCCUACCACCGGCUUCAGCCGCUGCCGACUCGCCGCUGCAGCCGACUUCGCGGCCCCGACCUUCUCUGCCCCGUCGCGCCUGCCGGGUCGCCGUGGCCGCCCGCUCCUACAAUGGCCGGCUCCGGGCCCCGCCGGCUGCCGGGUGCUCCACCUCCGCCCCAUGGUCGCCUGCGGGCUCCGCCUGCUCCGGCCGGCCUCCGCCUGGAGGCUCCUCGCGUGCGCCCCGCUAUAGCCAGCUGCUCGAGCGGGCCGGCUGCUCGCGUCGCUUCGCGCCUUCGGCCCCGUCCGCUCGCGUGCGUUUGCCCGCAUCGCCCCACCUUCGCGGCCUCACCUCGUCCCCGUGGAGCCCGUUCCGCCUUGCGCGCACCCGCGGUCGGCCGCACUGGACUCCCUUCCGGCUGGCCGCCGACUCCCCUGCCACGCCUCUGGUCGGCCGGGUCGCGCGCCUCCACUGCCGGCCCCCGGGUCGGGCGCCGUGUCCGGCUGUUCCACGCGCGCCCCUGCCGGGUCCUACUCCAGCCGCCUAUUGAGACCGACGCCUGAAGAAAAGAAGCAGUGGCCGGCUGAAAAAGAGAAGAAAAUUCAAGGGCUUUGUUCCCAGCCGGCUGAGAAAGAGUCGGGCCGACUGCUAGCUAAAAAGAGAAAAAAAGAGAGAGGGAAAAGAGAAGAAAAGUCAGAGGCCGACUGCCUGCUAGCCGGCUUGAUGAAAAGAGGUGGAGGCCGGCUGCGCGUGUACGGGCUGGCUAGAAAAGUCAAGGCCGGCUCCCCAUCGAAAAAAGAAAAAAGAAAGAAGGGCCCGGUUUCCCGCGUGGAGUCGGACAGAAAGAGAGAAGAGAAAAAAGGACCGGCUAUCCAAGUCAACGGCCGACUGCCUGUCGCCGGCUUGCUGAAAAAAAAGAGCAACUUAUACGUCCGCCUGCUAUAAGAGAAAAAGAAUCAACUUCAACAAAGAAGACAAAGUAGUCACCGGGAGAUCCGGCCCGACAGCUCAGCAGUCGGCCCAGAUCUCGGGGGCUACACCCAGCGGGUGCGCUGACGCGCCCCCGCAAAGAAGAAGACAAAGUACCGGGAGAUCCGGCCCGACUGCUCAGCAGUCGGCCCGAAUCUCGGGGGCUACACCCAGCGGGUGCGCUGAUGCGCCCCCACGAAGAAGAAGACAAAGUAGUUGCCGGGAGAUCCGGCCCGACUUCUCAGCAGUCGGCCCGAAUCUCGGGGGCUAGAUCCAGUGGGUGCGCUGACGCGCCCCCACGGAAGAUUGCAGACAAGAGAAGAGUUUUGUCCGGCUGUCAGCAGCCGGCAGAAAAAAAAGAAAGAAAGAAGAAAAAGGGCACUGCAAGAUGUCUCGCCGCCUGGCCGGUCGAGCCUGACCGGCCGGGACCCCUUCGAGCACCCGGAGGCUUGAAGGCUGCACCCAGCGGAUGCGCCAGCACGCUCAGCAAGCGUUGAGUCGCGCCGGCAAUCUUCGGCAAACUCCGCCUCGGCUACACGAAAAUCAAUGUGAGCUCCUCACCCGCAUAUUUUUGCACCGCAAGAGCAUGGAUAACCCCGAGCGAUGUCGGGGUCUAUCUCCGCAUUUCAUUACAGUUGCAUCACUGUUCGCCCUGGCGCUAGCUAGAGUUGGCCUGGGGGCUGGCCGCUUGGCCUGAGACGUUAGUUCCAGCAGAUGGUUUAGUAGCGUGCAUGGUACUAAAGGCCCACUCUUAGUCACAGACCGCAGAGCGGCUGUUCGGCUAGCAAGAGUGAAUGCUGGAGGCCACCCACGCGAAAAACGUCCGGGAAAAAAACGGUUCAGGCGACCCGGCCGUUUCCUUUACAAGUAUCUACUCGGUUGAAUCUGCUCCCAGACUCUGAGUACUGUACACUCCACUUCGCGGCCCACUCUCAACCACAGACCGCAGAGCGGCUGUCCGGCAAGCAAGAGCACAAGCCAAGAAGUGGAGGGAACACGAAAACGAUUAAGGGGGCUCGGACGAAACCGAGUCGGCACCCUCCGCAUAAAACUUGCAAUGCUAAAAGCAAACAUUUGAUAUAUCUGCAUGGACUAACUUUGUCUUUUUCAUGAUCAUUUCCAUGAACACUCGCCAAAAAACCUCCGCCCAACUUUGCCAAGUUACCCGGAGGCUUGGGGGCUACUGUUGGAGUAAUUGGACACAGAUACCCCGAAGACGGCGAGACAAGAAUUCAAGACAUCGGGACUAGCAAAGCCCCUCAGUCCAACUACCUGGCCGACUGCUGGCUGCCGACUGCUCCGCGAGGCCGACUGCUCGACCAGGCCGACUGCUGGCUGCCGACUGCUCCACCAGGCCGACUGCUGGCUGCCGACUGCUCCACCAGGCCGACUGCUCCACUAGGCCGACUGCUGGCUGCCGACUGCUCCACCAAACCAACUGCUGGCUGCCGACUGCUCCAACCAUCCGUCUUCCCGAAGUCAACUGCAGCCUGACGCGACCCCGACGUGACGGCCGUACCCAACACCGUUUACGUGUCACCCCAGCCAUCAUGUACAGUGUCCCUUGUCCCUGGGCACUAUUUAUGAAGUGACCCAGGGGACAAGGAUGACACCCAACCAUACCCCCUUGCUCCCAUACCAUACUUAGCUUAGAUAGUAAGCUAGCUCCACACUAUAUAUAUCCAUACAUCCAUCCAUCCACCCUCACAUGCACACACGCAUGAGCAUACACAUGCUCACGGCCAUGAGCCAUGAGCAUGGCCGGCCACUAGAGCAUGUCACAUAUAUGCAUAUAUGAAACCAGAUGCCUGUGGCACUGCUUUCAGAUACAGCUCCAGGAGCAACUCUGUACCAAAUAUACAUACCAGAUAUACUCAGACAUGCAGGAGUAGGGGUGUUAUCUCUCCGGAGAGCUCCGAACCUGG